GACCCAGGAUUUCCCAAUUACAAAGUUAAAUUCUUCUUAAAAAGAAAGUAAAUAUAUUGGGGUAAAAUAAACAUAUUUUGUUACAAAUCCAAUUUCAACACUAGAAUCAGUCGUGGGUACGACAAAUGUACUUAAAAUAUUGAAACUUAACAACAACAUAUUGCAACUUCGGGACCCACAACGAAAAAAGGUGAAAGUAAACGAAAUUAUCAUCUAACAGAAUGUAAUUUCCUAAAAUGAAUUAAAUUUUGCGGAAUGUUUUUUCGUUAAUUUUCAAGUACCGGAUUGAGGAAAACUUGUAUCACGUUCUCAAAUGAGACCACUUUUGUUGGUAUUUAUUAAUAACUCCUGAACUUCAUAAGAUUUUUUGCUGCGGUUUGUUUAUUUCAACUAAGGACGGCCCUUAGAAUAAAUUUGGUAAAACCUAAGUUUGGAGUGAUAUAUAAGUCAACGUUCUCAAAAAUGCUGAACUGAAAGCGACACCACGAGAGCUGAAUAAGCAUUGCACCAAUGCAUUGGUCCGGAUGU